rnacentral:rRNA from 1 species
GACGAACGCUGGCGGCGUGCUUAACACAUGCAAGUCGAACGGAGUGGCGAACGGGCGAGUAACACGUGGGUGACCUGCCCUGCAAUUCGGGAUAAGCCUGGGAAAAUGGGUCUAAUACCGGCUAGUGUGGUAUGGGCCGUGGGCAUAUAAGCUUGUUGUUGGGGUAACGGCCUACCAAAGCGGCGACGGGUAGCCGGCCUGGGAGGGUGGACGGCCACCUGUUGCCUGAGGCACGGCCCAGACUGCUACCGGAGGCAUCGGUGGAGAAUAUGGCACAAUGUGCGGAAGCCUGUUGCGGCGACGCCGCGUGGGUAAUGUCGUCCUUCGGGUUGGAAACUCCUUUCACCUUCGACGCGUUAGAUGGAGAAGAAGCACCGGCUAACUACGUGCCGGCAGCCGCGGUAAUAC